CACGUAGGGCGCGAGCGUUGUCCGGAAUUAUUGGGCGUAAAGAGCUCGUAGGCGGCCUGUUGCGUCCGCUGUGAAAGCCCGGGGCUUAACCCCCGGGUCGCAGUGGGAUACGGGCAGGCUAGGAGGUAGGUAGGGGAGAAUGGAAUUCCCGGUGUAGCGGUGAAAUGCGCAGAUAUCAGGAGGAACACCGAUGGCGAAGGCAGGUCUCUGGGCCACUACUGACGUGAGAAAGCGAAAGCAUGGGGGAGC
rnacentral:rRNA from 1 species